AUAAAGAGAAAGUUAAUCUGCGUUCAAGGUCAAGAAUCAAUGCAGACCAGGCUAAGUACAAAGAAAAACUGCUUUCGGCCCCAGCUGACUGUGAAAAAAUAUAGACAUAGUCAAACCAAAGGCAAUACAAGUUACAGUGCUGAGAUUACAUUUGCAAAGCUUAACUGUCCAGUGAGAUCCAACAGUCUGCCUUUGCGACCCUGGAGCUGGCGUGGUUUGGGGAAGCUGAAGAAGCCACAGGCAGCCGGCCUGGACUGGAAUCACUGAAAAGACGCCCCAGGAGACCUCAGGGUGUAAAAGAACUGCCCUCCCAAGAGAGGAAGCAAGUUGGAGAUUGCACAGCACCUUCUCUGAACGUUAUACACAGACGUGGCCAGUCUGGACGUACGUGUGUGAGUAUGAAAGUGUGUCUACUCUCAGCCACAGUAAGUCUGAGAACCGGAGAGGGAUUUAGCAUUCCUCUUUCCACCCCGGCUGACCGGGAAGGGUGUCAGGUGGAUCUACCCCAGUCGUAGCAGGACUGGGCAAUAGAGAAGUUGGAGAAAAGGGAAGAGUUGUGUACUUGAUAACUAGAAUUGAGCAAUUAAGAGCAUAGAUCAUGAACCAGGCAGCAACUCAAACCUACGCCCAGGGCAAGUUGCAAGCCUUGAGACAGGACUUCCAGGCAGAAAAGGAAGCACUGGCUAAGCAAGUACCGGUCCUUCAGGGACUUGUCAGAAUUUAACCAUUUGUGUUUGCAUAUGCUGUAAGAGCAGUGUGUUUGCCACAAGAGAAAAUUGAAUAGUUAAAUGCCAAUGGGCCAUGUGUUUUGCCCAAGUGGCAAGCCUCACGGGGGAGGACUCGGGUAGCCUUGUGAGUAAGAAUGUUUAAGAGAAGAGACCAGGAAGGGUGGGGGCUAGUUAAGAAGCCCACCCUCCUAUCUAAAUUGGUAGUGAAAAAGCUGGUGCCCAUGGAAGGGACGGUUCAGCGAGAAAAGCAGGAUCGGGCCCAAGCGGGCAGGCAAUAGAUAGAGAGAUUGGAGAACAGGUUGGAAACUUUGAGGGCAUAGUGGAAGGAAAGGAGUAAGUAAUUAUAAGCAUGGGGAUUUCAAAUCCCCAGGAUAAUAAUUGAAAUGGUAAAAUGUGUGUAAGACAGAGUCUUUGUACCAAGGUGCAAGGCUCUCCUUUCUUCUGCAGAAUAAAGCAACUCUUCCUUAUCCCUGUCUGGCUGUUAUUGGCUCUCAGCUAGGUGGACCCGAUAUUUUGGUGACAGUUACUGGCGACUCCGGUUAAUGAAUUUCUGUCUUAUACAUUUAGGUGUUAGGUGUGUGGACGGAACUGAGCCUCUCAUUUGUAAUUCCUCAGAGUGGAAGCCAUCGCGUGCAAUGAAGCUCUGAGGUUGAAUUGGGAUCCUUCUGUCCCGUCCCCUGUAGCGGUCAGUAUUAGUAGAAAUUCCUGUAAUAGGAUCCUAUUAGGCCAUAAUUCCCUCUGUUCUCUGUGUAAUUCUCUGUUAGAGUGUCAGCAGGCAGAUGGGUGGGUCUCUGGUAAAACCCUCUAAGGAUAGCCCUUUGAAUUAUAUGUUAAGUAAAUGGCCUUUACCCGGUGUUCAGGAAAGAAUAAAGAUUUGAAUUUGUUUUUGGGUAACAAAAUAGCAGAUAAAAGAUCUGGUAAAAAGAGAGAGAAGGACAGUGUCCCUGGCUCUGUGUGGUCGAGCUGUCACUUUAUUAGGGGUGCAUGGAGAUUUUGUAAGCACAAAAGAAACAGUUACACCUUGUGUAGAAAUUGAUGUGGCUAGUGUUGUGGAAAUUGAAUUGUGGAUAGGAUGUGCAUUUUCCCCAGAACAUGUGCAGUGUAUAUUGUAGCAGAGGUAAAAGAAAUGCAAACCUACCAAUAUAGGUUGUGUCGUCUCUUUCAGAUCACUGGGUGUUUGAAAGCAGGAGUUAGAAGUAAAAGGCAAUCAAAAGUCUGGGAAAGUUAAUUGUGACUUUUUACAUAAGAAUUUUUAAGCUGUGGAUAGCUGUGGAUCUGGAAGCAAGCCAGAAAGCAUCUGUAUUAAUGCAAUUUUCUAACUAAUAAGGUAGAAGCCACUGAAACCUGGGCUGCCUAUGAAACAAAUACAAGGAAAUAUGGGGUAAUUCCUCUGUUUUGUCUAAAAUCAACAAGAGUAUGUGUGUAUAUAAAGGAAAUAUUUUAAGCAAUGACUGACUACCCAGAAGGGGUAGACCUCUGUUCUUUUGUCUUUCAGAUCAUCAGAGAAAACGGAUGCCAGCUGAACAGCAUUCAAUGUACCAUGCAUUUACUGGUUAAAAGAAGCCAAGAAGGGGAGAAGGAAAAAGAACAGAACGAGUUAACUGAGGAAAAAUAGCUAGCAAGCUCAGUCCAAAGAUAAGAUGCUGGCACCAUCCAAGGACACUGCCCACAGCUAAGACUUGGCUGAUAGCCAAGAAAAGGGGGGCCUGAAUGUGCCCAAGCAACUAUGAGAUCUGAAAAACACUGCCAGGCAUUAAUGAAAUGUGUUAGGUUUCUUUUCUCACAGAUAAAAGAAGUGCUACCCAAAGACCCUAGCAGCCCUGCCAUUCAUUGAAACAAGGAGACUGAGUCUACGUAAAGUCUAUCAACGAAAGACUGCUUUGGCUCCCCACUGGAAAGGCCCUUUCCAAGUCCUGUUAACCACCACCACCACUGUGAAGUGCCAAGGACUACCUGCCUGGACCCAUGCUUCUCACUGUAAAAAGACCCCUCCACCUCGGGAGGACUCUCCGACUGAGGAUAAGCCUAUUUCUCCUUCUAGCUUUGCUGUGUCUUCUGGACAGCAGAAAAAAGAAAAAAAAAAGACAAGGUGAAGUGCUAGUAACCUCUCCCUUGUCCACUGACAGACCUACUGUGCCUCUGGAUUUUUCUAGAAGAAGCAAAACCAUUACAGGGUGAUGUGCUAGUAACCUCUCCCCUGUAUGAUGCUAAACCACACUGUUUCAGGAAAAGAGAAGAAGGAACACUUGCUUCACUGAAACCACAAAGUCCAGGGAUUCCUGACUACAAGAGACAUUAAGAACUGACCCUGGUGAAGAAACAAAGAAUUAUACACUGGCAGGAAGAAACUUGUGGGACCCAUGCUUGGGAAUGUGGUAUAGUACUACACCAAAAAGAAAUGUAUUAGGAUAUCAAUGAACUGUGAUUAACACUACACUAGGGACUGUUAAAUUUUCAUUACCCUUAUCCAGUUUCCAGAUUACCUCUACAUACCCAAAUUGCUCACAGGGGGCUGCCAUUAGAUUAGCACAACAGAGGGCUUGGGUUAUUUCUUCUAGAAAGAAGAGAGACUUGACCGGAUCCCUGUGGGAUGGGGCCAAUAAUGCAGCAGCAGUUUGGAAUAUUUUUAAGAACCAAGAACAUGAUGAGAAAUUGGGGCAACUAGAGAAGGCCAUUGGCCUUGUUUCUGGAGCACAACUAACCCAGGUACAGGCUGGAGUUGGUGAGUUACAUGUUAUUUCUGCCCUUAGUUCAAUGACCCAGAAGUUGCUGACAGAGAUGGUAUUGAAUAUCACUGAGGCUGGGAAGGCAUUGCAGUGGGAUCUAGCAUGUUCAGAAAUUCAGGAUUUCUUGAAUGACCAGCUAAUGGCCAUUCGGAAUGAUCUAGAGCACCAGGCUUGGCCCACUGCCCUUACAGACACAUCAGGAGUACCAUCUAAUCUGUGGCCAUGGAGACAUACUUGGAAACUUUCUGGGUGGAAGUGCAGACGUUCUCAGUGCUCCUUCCAAGCAUAUGGACCGGUUCAGGGGGUGUGGGCUCCCACAUACCGAAUCCUGCCGGGUCCAUGGGGAGGAUGCAUGUGGGAUUGGGUAAUUCAUCAAGACAUCUGGGAAAUUAGACCACCUGGUAUGCCCAAUCGAUUUUUAGUCAGUGCUCCUGGGAUUACAUCUGACAUUUGGAUGGAGUUAGGGAGUCAAUGGACAUUUUGGCCGUUACAACCCCCACAGCUUCAGUGCAUCCGUAAACUGAAGCCAGGAGAAGUUGUUACUCUUCAUGACUACAUUUGCUGGGAGGGUAUGGGACAAGGAACUACCCUGACAGGACACUUAUUUUUUAAGCUAAUGAUAGCUGUGUGUAUGUUAAAACCACCACAUUGCAAGACAUACAUUUUAAUCUCAUUACCACUGCAGGCAAUCAUAUUAUUUACUGGCCUGCAGAUAGAAUUUUGCAAGUAGUCCUUAGGUUCCAGAUACCCUUUAAUUGAACUAGUUUAGUACCUGAUCGAUUUUAAAAUUUGCUUUCACUGUUACCAGAGGUUCAGAAAAUCUCUGAAGGGCAAAUUCACAUGCUUCAAAAUGUAUAUCAAGUAGAAAAGUAUGCCUUUCACACUGCUUAUAGAGUAUCUAUCUUAUGUACUAAGUAUGAUGUAUUGUGCUUUAUGACUAAGGCUGUACAACAACCCCAUUAUAGUAUUGCUAUGGGAAUGUUAUUGCUUGUAUUGUUAUUAGUUAGCUUAGGAUUAUGUUACUGUUGUUGUAAAAGACGUAAUAAUAGUAAUACCUUUCAUGUCCAUGCUCAUCAUGCAUUGUCAUUACAUCCAAUCAAAACCCCUAAGGUUGAAGCAUCUGAUGUAGAAUCUGAAUUCCGAGAUUUAAUGCAAAUAGAGAUUUGAAA